UGGAUGGCAUCACUGACUCAUUGGACGUGAGUGAGCAAACUGGGAAAUAGCGAAGGACAGGGAAGCCUGGCAUACUGCAGUUCAUGGUGUUGCAAAGAGUUGGACACAACUUAGUAACUGAACAAGAACCCCAACAUUUCCCUUUGGGCACUUCAUUUUUGUGAAAUAUUUUGGUUAUUUUCCUCUCUGGUGUUCGAAGAAGAGAUCAACAGUUGCUGUGACUGACUUCCUGCUGAGCUGCUAUGAGGAAGCAAGCAGGUCUCCAAAAAUGGACCCUUACAGUCAUGGAUGGAAAGAAAAAACUGUAUUCUGAGAGGAGGGUUUGAUUUUUUUUUUUAAAUCACAGUUGUGAAUUACAGUGGUCAGAGCAUGCAAGCUAGAUCCACUCUUCACUCCUGGCACGUCUGAAGUUGGCUACCUACUCUCUGACCCACCUCACCCUCACCUUUGAAAUACUUGACAGUCUUCACUUUCAACUCCAGGGUAGCGUCCUCGUCGCACACAAACACUGUGCGGGGAUGCUGCUGGAAGGCAGACACGGUCCACAUGUGGUUCACUCCCUCCUCGAUGGCCUUGUACAGAGCAAACGCCUUGUGAGCACCUGUGAUGAGGAUCAUCACCUGGGGAUCAGAAGACAAGCCUGUGAUGGAGGAUAAGAAGCAGCAAAACUGGAAGUCCAGACACCUGAAUUCUAGUCUGGCUGCCCAAACUGAUCGUAAGGACUACUGUUUUUAUAUGUCAUUCUAAGUCGUUAGCAUGGGGCACACUAUGCUCCAUGCUCUAUGUGCUUUAUCACACAAGUAGCCCGAAGUGGGGAGCAUCAUUAUCCCUACAUUCUAGGAUAAGGAAGUAGGUUCUGUGAUGGGGGUUUAAGUAGCCUGCCCCAGGUUGUUUCUAACCUAGAGUCCGUGCUCUGACCACCACGUAAUUGUGCCUUCUGGCACCUCUGAUGAUGUCUGUGAAAGUGCCCUGUGAACACAUGUGCCGUGCACACCGAGGCCCACACCUUAUCCCAACUGUUCUGACACUAGGUCCCAGGGCUUCUAGGGUGGGUGAGUUUUCAGUGACAAACUGAAAAAGAGGGGUCACAAUCGGCACUGUCUACAAGGAGGCCUUGGAAGCAAUGGUGAGAGUUAUCUGUGUGGCUGCUAAGGUUGAAUCCAAAUAAGGCUGCCCCUUAAUCUGGUCACUUUUCAAUUCAGAGUAUUAGACCUGCUCAUGUGACUUGGAGUCAUGCUUUUUGUCUAAGUAAAACAGGCACAGACUCCCCUCAACGCUUAAAAUAUCAAGAUGUCAAGUGUUGGAAAGUGAUUAUAAAUAGCUCUCCAUAUACCCUUUCAUUGUAAUUCACUUGUAUCAUGGAGUUGUGAGCAGGAUCUACUGUUCCUUGCUUGAAAGAUGAAAAAACAGAGGCACAAAGAGAAAUGUGACUUGGAUGCCAGAAUUCAUUUUCAAAAAGAGAAUUUCCAGAUUUCCAGCCCCAGGUCCUUUCUGCACACUGCAGGAAGAGCCCUCAAACCACAGUAUUUACCAAAACCAGCAAAAUGAUCUCCCUAGGUACUGAUUCAAGGUUACCCAACAGAAAUCUGCUGCCAUUUCACAAAAGUUCAUUUUAGACAGGGGAUCUUUUUCACUGAUUUACAUGUUUGUUUACAGACUUGGGCAAGGAAAAGUUGAAGCUAAAAUUUCUGUAGCUGCUUCUCACUGAAUAUAUCAGAAAUGAAGAGAAAAAGCUUCUAAUGAAAGUAAGGAAACUGGAGCCACCAAAAAAUUCUAAUGAUACCCAGAUUUCUAUGGAAAGACUUAACUAAAUUCAGGUCAAGAUACUAUUUCUAUCACACUUCACAUUUAUGAAUCUCUACACACAGGGCUAUAAGCACAAGCAUCUUGUAGUUGCAGGGGGAGCUCCCUUCAAGCAGUGACUGACCGCCACCAACUGCAGGGAACCAGAGGGUCCCCUCAGUACCUGGGCAGGUACAAAUUCAUAUUCUGACAUUAGUGAUGCUGGGUAAGCAGAGACUAGGAGCCUGCAGCUUCCUGGGCAGUCACUGUCGAAAGGUUUCACCUCACACUGGGAAGAAUGGUUACUUCCAGAGAAGGAGAACAGUGAAGGGUCUCAGUUGGGACUUUAGCCUUAUUUAUAAUGUCUUCAUUUUUAAUAAAAGUGAAUUCAGGUGGUA